rnacentral:rRNA from 1 species
UAAUACGAAGGGGGCUAGCGUUGUUCGGAAUUACUGGGCGUAAAGGGUGUGUAGGUGGUUUAGUACGUCAGAAGUGAAAUCCCUGGGCUCAACCCAGGAAUUGCUUUUGAGACUAUUAGACUUGAGUACAGGAGAGGUGAGUGGAAUUCCCAGUGUAGAGGUAAAAUUCGUAGAUAUUGGGAGGAACACCAGUGGCGAAGGCGGCUCACUGGCCUGUAACUGACACUGAGACACGAAAGCGUGGGGAGCAAACAGGAUUAGAUACCCUGGUAGUCCACGCUGUAAACGAUGAAUGCUAGUUGUUGGAAGGUUUACCUUUCAGUGACGCCGCUAACGCAUUAAGCAUUCCGCCUGGGGAGUACGGCCGCAAGGUUG